rnacentral:rRNA from 1 species
CCUACGGGUGGCAGCAGUGGGGAAUAUUGGACAAUGGGCGAAAGCCUGAUCCAGCCAUGCCGCGUGUGUGAAGAAGGCCUUCGGGUUGUAAAGCACUUUCAGUGGGGAAGAAAGUCUUGGGGCUAAUACCCUCGAGGAAGGACAUCACCCACAGAAGAAGCACCGGCUAACUCCGUGCCAGCAGCCGCGGUAAUACGGAGGGUGCGAGCGUUAAUCGGAAUUACUGGGCGUAAAGCGCGCGUAGGCGGUCUGAUAAGCCGGUUGUGAAAGCCCCGGGCUCAACCUGGGAACGGCAUCCGGAACUGUCAGGCUAGAGUGCAGGAGAGGAAGGUAGAAUUCCCGGUGUAGCGGUGAAAUGCGUAGAGAUCGGGAGGAAUACCAGUGGCGAAGGCGGCCUUCUGGACUGACACUGACGCUGAGGUGCGAAAGCGUGGGUAGCAAACAGGAUUAGAUACCCUAGUAGU